rnacentral:rRNA from 1 species
UAGGGAAUCUUGCGCAAUGGGCGAAAGCCUGACGCAGCCAUGCCGCGUGAAUGAUGAAGGUCUUAGGAUUGUAAAAUUCUUUCACCGGGGAAGAUAAUGACGGUACCCGGAGAAGAAGCCCCGGCUAACUUCGUGCCAGCAGCCGCGGUAAUACGAAGGGGGCUAGCGUUGCUCGGAAUUACUGGGCGUAAAGGGCGCGUAGGCGGACAGUUUAGUCAGAGGUGAAAGCCCAGGGCUCAACCUUGGAACUGCCUUUGAUACUGACUGUCUUGAGUUCGGGAGAGGUGAGUGGAAUGCCGAGUGUAGAGGUGAAAUUCGUAGAUAUUCGGCGGAACACCAGUGGCGAAGGCGACUCGCUGGCCCGAUACUGACGCUGAGGCGCGAAAGCGUGGGGAGCAAACAGGAUUAGAUACCCUGGUAGUCCACGCUGUAAACGAUGAGUGCUAGUUGUCGGCAUGCAUGCAUGUCGGUGACGCAGCUAACGCAUUAAGCACUCCGCCUGGGGAGUACGGUCGCAAGAUUAC